GCAUGUGUGGGGUAGUGGUAACCUGGGUCGUUGCCAUCGAUAGUGUCGUAAGUCACUUUCGACCCGCCGGGGGUUCGAUUCCCUCCACAUGCA